rnacentral:rRNA from 1 species
AUUGAACGCUGGCGGCAUGCCUUACACAUGCAAGUCGAACGGCAGCACGGGAGCAAUCCUGGUGGCGAGUGGCGAACGGGUGAGUAAUAUAUCGGAACGUGCCCGGUCGUGGGGAUAACGUAGCGAAAGCUACGCUAAUACCGCAUACGAUCUAUGGAUGAAAGCGGGGGAUCGCAAGACCUCGCGCGAUUGGAGCGGCCGAUAUCAGAUUAGGUAGUUGGUGAGGUAAAGGCUCACCAAGCCGACGAUCUGUAGCUGGUCUGAGAGGACGACCAGCCACACUGGGACUGAGACACGGCCCAGACUCCUACGGGAGGCAGCAGUGGGGAAUUUUGGACAAUGGGCGCAAGCCUGAUCCAGCCAUGCCGCGUGCAGGAUGACGGUCCUAUGGAUGUAAACUGCUUUGUACGAGAAGAAACAACAUU